GACGAACGCUGGCGGCGUGCUUAACACAUGCAAGUCGAACGGAGCUAUUUAUUUCGGUAAAUCGCUUAGUGGCAAACGGGUGAGUAACGCGUAGGCAACCUGCCCUCAGGAUGGGGACAACGGCUCGAAAGAGCCGCUAAUACCGAAUGACGUAACUCUUCCACAUGGAAGAGAUACUAAAGAUGGGUCAAACCAUCGCCUAAGGAUGGGCCUGCGUCUGAUUAGCCAGUUGGUGAGGUAACGGCUCACCAAAGCGACGAUCAGUAGCCGGUCUGAGAGGAUGAACGGCCACAAUGGGACUGAGACACGGCCCAUACUCCUACGGGAGGCAGCAGUGGGGAAUCUUCCGCAAUGGGCGAAAGCCUGACGGAGCAACGCCGCGUGAGUGAAGAAGGUCUUCGGAUCGUAAAGCUCUGUUGUCGGGGACGAAAGGAAAGGGGAGGCAAUGCCCUUUUCAAGAC
rnacentral:rRNA from 1 species